rnacentral:misc_RNA from 1 species
GGCUUCUGCCAAUCGCGUCUGCAGUAUGUCCAAAUUCACCUCAUCGUCUUUGCAGAGUUCAAGUUCACAAAUACUGCAAUAUAUAAGUUGAUGGUUCUCUUGCAACCGUCCUUGCUUACAGAUGGGACACCAAGUCUCCUUUUGAACCUGCUUAUCAUUCAAGUGCAUGUGCUCAUAAACAGCACGAGCCAAGUACUCAUCUUCUUCAUCCUCCCAUAUGGUUUUCAGGUUCUUUUCUUGUUGGUUCUGCCCUCAGAUCCUCAUAGAAGAUCCUUUGCAUCUCCAACAAUAUCUCCUCACAUUCACCUUGAUAAGCAUUGUG